rnacentral:rRNA from 1 species
AUUGAACGCUGGCGGCAGGCCUAACACAUGCAAGUCGAACGGUAACAGGAAGAAGCUUGCUUCUUUGCUGACGAGUGGCGGACGGGUGAGUAAUGUCUGGGAAACUGCCUGAUGGAGGGGGAUAACUACUGGAAACGGUAGCUAAUACCGCAUAACGUCGCAAGACCAAAAAGGGGGACCUUCGGGCCUCUUGCCAUCGGAUGUGCCCAGAUGGGAUUAGCUAGUAGGUGGGGUAACGGCUCACCUAGGCGACGAUCCCUAGCUGGUCUGAGAGGAUGACCAGCCACACUGGAACUGAGACACGGUCCAGACUCCUACGGGAGGCAGCAGUGGGGAAUAUUGCACAAUGGGCGCAAGCCUGAUGCAGCCAUGCCGCGUGUAUGAAGAAGGCCUUCGGUUGUAAAGACUUUCAGCGGGGAGGAAGGGAGUAAAGUUAAUACC